rnacentral:rRNA from 1 species
AAUAGAUACCCGGGUAGUCCACGCCGUAAACGGUGGGCACUAGGUGUGGGCGACAUUCCACGUCGUCCGUGCCGCAGCUAACGCAUUAAGUGCCCCGCCUGGGGAGUACGGCCGCAAGGCUAAAACUCAAAGGAAUUGACGGGGGCCCGCACAAGCGGCGGAGCAUGUGGCUUAAUUCGACGCAACGCGAAGAACCUUACCAAGGCUUGACAUACACCGGAAACGUCCAGAGAUGGGCGCCCCCUUGUGGUCGGUGUACAGGUGGUGCAUGGCUGUCGUUAGCUCGUGUCGUGAGAUGUUGGGUUAAGUCCCGCAACGAGCGCAACCCUUGUCCCGUGUUGCCAGCAGGCCCUUGUGGUGCUGGGGACUCACGGGAGACCGCCGGGGUCAACUCGGAGGAAGGUGGGGACGACGUCAAGUCAUCAUGCCCCUUAUGUCUUGGGCUGCACACGUGCUACAAUGGCCGGUACAAUGAGCUGCGAUACCGCGAGGUGGAGCGAAUCUCAAAAAGCCGGUCUCAGUUCGGAUUGGGGUCUGCAACUCGACCCC